rnacentral:rRNA from 1 species
AUGGACUUCUCCGUCGAGGAUGGCAAAAGGCUAUGGUCGCUUGUUCGGAAGCAGGUGGUCCUGGUCGACAAGAAACGAAGGUUCUUGGCUGAAUCAGAUAUACGGAGUGACGAAGUGUCUUGCGAAAAAGUGACAGCCAAUGUUGCAAAAAGUUAUGGUCUGCAGCGCGGUGGCCACAACCAUCACUUGGUUCAGGAUGGUCUCAGGCUUCUUAACUUACCAAGAGGGGAAGAUGGCUCAUUGAGUCCAGAAAGUCUGAACAUUAUGCAUAGCACAAUCAAUAAGUUAAGCAAUGGAGCACUUCAAUCAGUGGCUAAAAUCAUCAGCCGCACCAACUGUAGUUUUAAUAAGACUAGACCACUGUUAAGAGAAAUUGUAACAUACCAUCUUCCGUGUUACUUAGCCAAGCUGGAUCAUGAAGAUGUCAUCAUGUUUGAGUUGUCUGAAAUUUUGAGAAAUCCUGGCAGCUACCAAUCUGAUUCGUUGAGCCUUGUCACACCUGUGUCACCACUGCUUCUGUCAUCUAUCAACCAAGCUUUGGAUAGACUUGAUGGGAUUCCUGACCAAGCUCUUGUUGCAGUGAACAGGAAGCUCAUAGGAAAAACAUGUAUGCCGAAAUUCUGGCAUGUGCCUCGGUCUUCCAGUAGAGGGCAUCUUAUUGAAAUAGUGAGGAAAAGAUGCAAAAUGAUUAUAGCGCGUAUUGAGGAAGGUUACAUGCCAAAGAGAUUAGCAAAGGCCAUGUCAGUGGUGAACCUAUACUGGAAGCAGAAGUUGAGAUCCAUGGAUAUUUCUCAGUUAGAGUACUUCCCCUUUUCAAAAGAAACAGUGUCUUUGCAAAAUGAUAUCCUGAAUGCUCUUUGGUUGCUUCCAAAACUCCAGCAUGAUGACCUAAAAUUGCUGCGUCCCAUAUUGGACCCAGAUCCUAAAUUUCGAAAGAUGCAAUUUAGAGUAUCUUUGAGGAAGUACUUGUUAGAAUGCUUGUUUGAAUCUGAUGAAGGUGAUUUGCCAGAUGAGGCCCAUCAAGCCAUAGCCUUUAUAAAUCGGAUUUCUCAAUGUAAAAGUGCCUGUCUGACAGAACGAAGGAAGAAUGCUGAAGUAGAUUCUGUAUUGAAUGUAAACAGUCAACUCAGAGCUUUGGCAUAUUAUGAUACCGAUGACUGUUCAGACGCGGACAAGUUGAUGAGCUUAGGGAGUGUCAACUGCACUGGGGAUAAUGAUUUCAUACUCCCUGAGACCAACUAUUUCCACUAUAAAUUUGAGCAGCAUAUGGAUGAGCCUUGUUCUUCGAAUAGUACACCCAAAGUUGUUGAUAUGGACGAGUGUUGUUCGGCUGAAUCUACCAGAGCUGCACAUCAUGUUCAAGAAGCUGAACAUCUAGGUUCCAAAUUAGAGGAGGUUUUCAGGAAACCAUGUGAAGGAACUGAAAACUCUGGAGCCACUCCACAUUACAGAGACAACCUUGCUUUGUAG